AUGCACGCUGGCGGCGUGCCUAAUACAUGCCAGUCGAGCGAACAGAUGAGGAGCUUGCUCCUCUGACGUUAGCGGCGGACGGGUGAGUAACACGUGGAUAACCUACCUAUAAGACUGGGAUAACUUCGGGAAACCGGAGCUAAUACCGGAUAAUAUAUUGAACCGCAUGGUUCAAUAGUGAAAGACGGUUUUGCUGUCACUUAUAGAUGGAUCCGCGCCGCAUUAGCUAGUUGGUAAGGUAACGGCUUACCAAGGCAACGAUGCGUAGCCGACCUGAGAGGGUGAUCGGCCACACUGGAACUGAGACACGGUCCAGACUCCUACGGGAGGCAGCAGUAGGGAAUCUUCCGCAAUGGGCGAAAGCCUGACGGAGCAACGCCGCGUGAGUGAUGAAGGUCUUCGGAUCGUAAAACUCUGUUAUUAGGGAAGAACAAAUGUGUAAGUAACUAUGCACGUCUUGACGGUACCUAAUCAGAAAGCCACGGCUAACUACGU
rnacentral:rRNA from 1 species